rnacentral:rRNA from 1 species
UACGUAGGUGGCAAGCGUUUGUCCGGAUUUACUGGGCGUAAAGGGCGUGCAGGCGGUCUGUUAAGUGCAGGGUGAAAGCUCCCGGCUCAACUGGGAGAGGUCCUUGCAUACUGGCGGAGCUUGAGGGGGGUAGAGGAAAGUGGAAUUCCCGGUGUAGUGGUGAUAUGCGUAGAUAUCGGGAGGAACACCUGUGGCGAAGGCGGCUUUCUGGGCCCUACCUGACGCUGAGACGCGAAAGCGUGGGGAGCGAACCGG